GCACUCACGUGGCACGGCCCUCCCGCAGCAGCACCCCGGAAAGAGUGAGGCUCAGCUCAGCCUGCACCACCUUCACUGACUUUGGCUUCAGCCGCAGCCUCACUGGGACUUGGACAGGCACGGGCCCUGCAUGGCGGGCCAGGUCCACCUCGGCCGUGGCCAGCACCUUCCGCUGCCCCUUAGACUCAUUUUCAAUAAUAAAUGUCCACUCUUUGGCCUCAUACUGGUCCACGUGGGGGUCCCUGUAGAGGGUCACAGAGAUGUCCACAUUCUCAGGUACCAUCCACACCACGGUGCCCCGGUAUGGGUUCUGGAUGCCCGGCUGCCAGCUGUGGGCCUUGGAGCAGAUGCGUCGGUUCCGACGGGUCCAUACCACCACCAGCUUAUCUGGCUGCCAUUUCUUGGUGCACUCCAACACUAGCUCGUGGUAACAGGCCACGAACUGGAACUUGGCCGCCCGCUUGCCCACGCGCUGCAGGCGCUUCCACACCGAGGUCAUGGCCCCCGCCACCCCGCCGCCCACUUCUCAGGCCCGGGGCUCCCGCUGGCCCGCCACCGCUGGCCCGGCCCGGGUCCCCAUGGCCUGUCCGCGCCGCCCGCCCCGUCCGUGCGGAGGUGUCCCAGGCUCCGACCCGGGACCGCGCUCUCCGCUGCCGCCGCUGGGGCCCGCAGGGUGGUCUGGCUGAGUCUGCGGGGUCGCCUGGGGCGCGUCGGGUGGCGAGCGCGGAGCUGGGAGCGCGCCGUUUCCUGGAGCCGCACCCCCGUCGGAAGGCGGGCGGGGCUCCGGCGCGGGGCGGGGGCCGGGGCAGGAGCGCGGGGGCGGGGCGACCCGGCUUCCGGGGCCUCGCGCCGCGACCCGGGAGCGGGAGCGGGGGCGGGGGAGGGGGGCGUGGAAGGGGUGUCGCCCGACCGCAGUGCCCGCUCGGUGCGCGCAGAGGCUGCGUGGAGAGAGGGCAACCAGCAACUUGGUGCCACCCUAGAGAGCGCUGCCCGGGCCGCCUUCCUUCCUGCCCGCAGCCCUGGGAGGUACGUACUACUGGCCCCCUUUCAACGGCUGGGAAAACUGAGACCCAGAAAGGGGAAGGGACUUGCUCAGAGUCAUACUGUGAAUGUGGACGAGGACCAGCUCUCAACUCCAAGGUGCAGCCACCCACGUCUUAACCAGAGCAGGAAGGCGUCAGUAACCUCGGUGGCCCAACCUCAGAACCUGACUCUGCUGUCAAGGGGGAAGAUAAUCCCAAACCCCGACAAGUAGCUGGAGAAUCAUAACUGACCUCCAACCAAGUGUGACUUUGGGCAAAGCGCUAACACUCUGAGCCUCAGUUUCAACGUCUAUUAAAUGGGGAUAAUUGUAGUUCCGCCUUUUAGGGAAUCCCUGAGAGGAUGAACCUCAGAAGGCAUUUAGCAGAAAGCCUGGCUGAUUUUGCCAUGCCUCCUUAUUAAAUGGGAUGCGCUAUAAUGGAUGGGGAAAACGUGUCAUUUUUGUGUAUGUUUACUCUCCCUCCCCAGGAAAGCCUGCCUGGAGCGUUAGCAGCUGUGAACCCCUAGAUUAGAGCCCUUAUCGCCUACCCACCCGCCCUGCAUGGUAAUGAGCCUCUGCAGGUGUCAGCUGCCCUGGGGCAAUAGGUCAGUUUGUUCCUUCCCGCUGCUCUGCAAGGUGUGUAAAUGGACAGGAGCCCGGUGCGUGACUGCUACUUGGUUUAACGGGAUGUCUGAGUGCCAGGACUGCCAUCUGGGCUGCAUCUCCAGGAGGCAAAUGGCUGCAGCAGGGCGCGGGGAUGUGCUGUUCGUCCGCACACCUCGGUGUGCGGCUUCACCUCUUUUCAGGAGGUUGUGAGGUGUCGUGUGCGCGUGUAGGGGGCUGAGUACCCACUGUCUCCGAACGUGCUGGCUUCUUCCGGUGGGCUUGACAACUGGGUUUGGUUCUCAGUCCCAGCGGUGUGGGUCCCCGGUUUCCUAAGAAACCUUCCACAGAUAACUGUAAAGACCGCUAGUGCUGUGGGGAGAGCCGGCGGUCUUCACAGACUGAGCGGGGAAUACGGGUCCCUGGAACCCCAAUCAAACUUCACCGCCGCGGAGUCUCAUGCUUGGCCUCCGGGAAGGCCCGAGGUGCCGCGACUUCACUCCCCUCGGCCUCUGCCACCCCUCCCUCCCACCCGCGGGGCGUGAGGUCCCAGGCCGUUCCCGGAGGCGCCUCCCCCGCCCCCGCCGGGGCCCCUUGCUCCGGCGACUCCGGCCACCCAUUUCCUGCGCCGCCUCAACCCCGCCCCGCGCGGGGUGGAAAGUUUCCCUCCUCAAGGUGGGCGGCUCCUUCUCCUUCCUUCCCGGCAGGCAGGGAAAGCCCGAAGCGAACUGGGAGGAGGGAGCGGGGGACUCGGAGGUCGCGGGCGAGAGAGGGGAAGUGACUCGACCGCAGUCACCCGGCGGCUGAGCCAGGCUCGGCCAGCAGGCAGCGCCCCCAGCCCCGCCCCGGCGGGACGGCAGGGCCUUCACUCGGCGCGGGGCGGGGGGGGAGGGGGUCUCGGGCGCCACCUGCUGGCAGAGCGCGGGGCCGCACCUGCCACAAACACCGCGGUCUUCCCGCCCCAGAGCCAGCCAGGCAGAGCACAACGACGCUGAGUGUAUUUAUUUAUCUACGCGCCCUGGAGACCGGCCCCUAAAUUUAAAUAUCCAGCACGGGGCCUUGGCCCUCCUGGCCGUGGGUGGUUAUUGGGACGGGUCCUGGAGCCCUUCCAGGGCAGAGGAACCCAGAGCCCGGAGGUGGGAUGCCCCUGAGCCAGCAGCUGCCGAUAGCAACAAAAGGUGAGGAGGAGAUGGGAGCCAGGCACUCAUCCCAAUCCCAGAGACGCCAAGCGGAAGGGAAGAUGCUUCGGGCCCCACCGCAAGGCUGAGGGUUGGCCAAGCUGGGGGUGCACACAUGUGGAAGAACUGGAGGCCCAGUGCCAUGAGCAGAGGCUGUACCCUAGAUGCCCGCCCCAGUGCCAGCCAACCCAAGACAGGAGAAAGAGUUUGGCAGUUUCGCCUCUGAGGAAUACAUGCCUGGCCCUCCUGUGAGGUGAGGCGGUAGGGGGGAAGGCGCAGGCUCCGAAGUCUGAGGGCUUGCCGGAGGGGGAGUUUCUGAGCCUUUUGCAUGGGUGCAUGCCCCCUGCCCCCCAGCCCUUCAGAGGCUGAUGUGGAAGGCAUCCUGCAGCCACUGGUCACGGGCAUUGUGCGUCUGGGGCACAGUAAGGGGUGGCGGGUCAGGAGGCAGGCUGGCAUCGGGAGGCUCCUCGUCGUCAGACAGGCCCGCAUCCGGUGGGUAGGAGCUGUCCGAAUGGAGGGAGGAUGACAGGUCCUGGCAGAAGCUCAGGUCUUGGCACAGGUGUUUGUAGUCCUGGAUUGACUCGUACAGGCCCCACAGCUGGCACAACAAGGACAUGUCCAACUGCCGCAGCCCCACCUGCAGACAACUGAGGGUGGGCUGGAGUUGGGGUCCAGGCCACCCCAGCCCAGCCCCGCCCCCUGGAAUAGUGGGCCCCAGCCCAUCUUCCCCGCACCUUCCUAAACGAAGUUUUUGUGGACAUCAGGCACCACCUGCAAGCUAUGCAACUUUAGUCAUGACCCUCACCCAAAAAAUGGGGUUAUCCAUUUAGCCGGAUGAAAUGAAGUAACGUCAGCAAAACAUUUGAAAAUAUAUGGUAACUACUGCCAUAAUUGGUAACUAUCACUAAUUAUUGUUACCAUAACCCUUGCAACCCAACUGGUGCCUGCAAGUCCUCUGAGACCCAGGCCGCCUGUCCCAGUCCCCUGCGUUCCUCCGCGUCAGCCCCCCGCCCAGCUGGCCCGGCGCCCACCCACUCACCAUCUCCUUGCGCAGCGCGGCCAGCGCUGAGUCGAGGUUGACAGGACGACGCGGGCCGGCUGCGGGUCCCGCGUUGGCGGCGCCGGCGGCGUGGCGGGGCCCGUCCGGGGCGCGGGCGGCGCGGCUCAGCUCGUCGUGGAUGCGGCUG
rnacentral:lncRNA from 1 species